GACGAACGCUGGCGGCGUGCCUAAUACAUGCAAGUAGGACGCAGUUGCGAACGGGUGAGUAACGCGUAGGUAACUACCUAUUAGAGGGGGAUAACUAUUGGAAACGAUAGCACAUACCGCAUACUAGUAGAUGGACCUGCGUUGUAUUAGCGAGUAGGUAGGGUAAUGGCCUAACUAGGCAACGAUACAUAGCCGAGUGGGUAGGGGGAUCGUCCACACUGGGACUGUGACUCGGCCCAGACUCCGACGGGAGGCAGCAGUAGGGAAGCUUCGGCAAUGGGGGGAACCCUGACCGAGCAACGCGGCGUGAGUGAAGAAGGUUUUCGGAUCGUAAAGCGCUUUUGUUAAGGAAGCGGUACUUAACCAGAAAGGGACGGCUAACUACGUGCCAGCAGCCGCGGUAAUAC
rnacentral:rRNA from 1 species